GGUGGCCCAGUGGUUAGAGCGUCCGCUUCGAAUGCGGAAGAUCGCGGGUUCAAGUCAUACCAAAGACU